ensembl:lncRNA
CUGCUUCCCUGACCAUCUGGCUGAGCCGGGAGCGGAGCCGGAGCUGGAGCGGGAGGGGGAGUCCUGGUCCAGGGUGGGAGGCGGCUGCGGCAGCGGCGGCGUCCCCCUCCAUCCUCUCCCUCCUCCAGCCCUUCCCGGCCCCUCCUCCCCCUCCGCUGCGGCCAGACGCCGCCCCGCCAGCUGCGUCCUGGUCCUGGUUCGGGUCCCGGAGCUAGCGGAGCCGGAGCGGGAGCCCGAGCGGGAGCCAUGGGCUGCGGAAACUCCACAGCCACCAGCGCCAGCGCGGCCCGAGGUCCUGCUGGAGCUGCUAAAGAUGCGAACUAUGGAGGGGUCUAUGUUGGCCUGCCGUCAGAUGCUGUCACAAUGGUGUCCAGUCAAACAAAGAGUGCACGAAAAGAUUAGAAGAAAAUUAUAUCCUGAUGUAAUAAACAAGAGAGGAGAGAGGAUGAUGGAAUCUGUUGCCACCUUCUCCAGGACAGAGCUGUUCCUUGUUUACCCAAUAAUGAAGCUUGCUCAUCAACAUUUGGGAAGAACUUAGUUCCACAGGAGACUUUCAUGUGUUGCAGACACUUUUGAGAAGGUUCUGGACACCCCAGAUCCCAAGUGUUGUCAGGCAAAGUUACAGGCAAAUCUUGAACGCUACCGAGGGAGAAGGAAAUCACUUGGACACUGUGCUCAAAGUAUGGAACCGCACUGUGGUCAUCUUGUAAUAAUCAAGCUCAUCAACUGUCCUGGGGCCUGCCACUUUAGACAGAAAUCUGCCCUGAGACCAGUAGGUAGUGUGCUCCUCCUCACUGGGGCCGGAUGGGAAAUCUCAUGAAUUAUACAGUUCACCAAUACGUUUUUGGAUGGCUUUUAUAUGAUAAAAAUCUUCAUUCUAUUUAUAAUGUCUAAUAAUGAGACACUGUAAGGGAAUUAAUGAAAAACCAUAUAUUUGACAUCUGUAAUCUUUUAGUACUCUCUGCACAAAUUGAAUCCAUUUUGUUUUUGGUUGUUAAAAUCUUAAAUUGAUCAAGUAGGCAUAAAGCUAUGAAGUUCUCACAGCUAUUUCUUUCCCUUUUAUACUACUGGUUUUCAGCUUUAUUAAAGCAUUCAGCUGCUCAAAGGAACUUUCUUUUUUAAGAAGGAUGUAUUUCAUUGCAACAUUUUUUUAAAAACAAAAUACUGGUUUUAUAUGUCCUGUAAAAUUUUGGUUCACCUUCUCUUUUCUUUGUAUAAAGGCUCAUGUAACUAGUGUCAUUGGUGUCUUCUCUCCCAUCCCACCUCCAAUAUGACCUUCCCAGAAAAGGUCACCAUGAUAUUAUUUAAUUAUUCAAAAUCAGUAAGGAUCAUUAUGGUGAAUGGCUAACGGGCUAUUUGGAAAAUACUUUAUUUGCUAAUAACUGUAAGUUUCUCUACUUAAUACUAUGCUGUAAUUUGCUAUGCUAUUUACCAGUGUAAUUAGACAAUUAAAACAUUUAUAUUCCUCUUUAGAAUGGAUUCUUAAUUCUGUUCUACAACAGGACAUAGUCAGAAACAUCACAUAUAGUAAUUACAUUAGUGAGAUUUGUUCAUUCAUUCAUAUGGCAAACUUUUAAGCACCGUCAAUCAAUCAGUCAAAAAACUCCUACUAUGUGCCAGUCAUUUUGUAAAAUGCUGGAGAUACAAUAAAGAAUGAGACAAUUUCUACUCA